UACAGAGGUCUCAAGCGUUGUUCGGAUUCAUUGGGCGUAAAGGGUGCGUAGGUGGCGCGCUAAGUCAGGUGUGAAAUUUCGGAGCUUAACUCCGAAACUGCAUUUGAUACUGGCGUGCUUGAGGACUGGAGAGGAGACUGGAAUUCACGGUGUAGCAGUGAAAUGCGUAGAUAUCGGGAGGAACACCAGUAGCGAAGGCGGCUCGCUGGGCCACACCUGACGCUGAGACGCGAAAGCUAGGGGAGCGAACAGG
rnacentral:rRNA from 1 species